rnacentral:snoRNA from 1 species
GGGAAGUGAUGAGUGGUCAAAUCUCGCCAUUCUUUGCGAGAGGAGUGUCCACCCCAAGCCUGGUUACGACACUAUGGGCACUCCAACAUAUACCAAUCUGAUCCC